rnacentral:rRNA from 1 species
AAGAUUUUAAAGGUCGAACAGACCUAAUUAAUUAAUUUUUUUCUAUUAAUAUUUAUCUUAAUUCAACAUCGAGGUAGCAAUAUUUUUUUUCGAUUUGGUCUCUCAAAAAAUUUAACU